rnacentral:rRNA from 1 species
UACAGAGGUCUCAAGCGUUGUUCGGAUUCAUUGGGCGUAAAGAGCGCGUAGGCGGCUAGAUAAGUCCGGUGUGAAAGUCACAGGCUCAACCUGUGAAUGCCGCUGGAAACUGUCUGGCUAGAGUCCGGAAGGGGCGAGUGGAAUUCCUGGUGUAGCGGUGAAAUGCGCAGAUAUCAGGAGGAACACCAAUGGCGAAGGCAGCUCGCUGGGACGGUACUGACGCUGAGGCGCGAAAGCGUGGGGAGCAAACAGG